rnacentral:snRNA from 1 species
AUACUUACCUGGUACGGGAGGUUGCCGUUCUCAGCAUCGGUUCUCCCAGGGUGAGGCCUUUCCAUUGCACCUUGGUUUGGCUGACCUCUGCGAUCUCCCCAAAUGGGGGGGACUCGAGUACGUAAUUUAUAUGUGUGGGGGAGUGUGCGUCCGCGCCACCCCCCG